UACGUAGGGUGCGAGCGUUAAUCGGAAUUACUGGGCGUAAAGCGUGCGCAGGCGGUGAUGUAAGACAGAUGUGAAAUCCCCGGGCUCAACCUGGGAACUGCAUUUGUGACUGCAUCGCUGGAGUGCGGCAGAGGGGGAUGGAAUUCCGCGUGUAGCAGUGAAAUGCGUAGAGAUGUGGAGGAAUACCGAUGGCGAAGGCAGCCCCCUGGGCCAAUACUGACGCUCAUGCACGAAAGCGUGGGGAGCAAACAGG
rnacentral:rRNA from 1 species